rnacentral:sRNA from 1 species
AGGUAUGUGUCCCUUGUUCAUCACUUUCCUUUCAUCCUUCCUAAUGCUGUAUGCUUGGUUCAAGAAGAUGCCCAUCCAAAUAGAGAUGGGAGAGAUAUUGUUCCAUCAAGGGCAUUUGAGUAGCCGUGUUCCCCUGCUGAAAUCUCCAGGUCAACUCUUAAGGUCUAUUUGUAAGAGAACACAAAGGUAGUCAGGUUUCCUUUUAUUAAAGUGUUUUAAAAUUAAAAAGCAUUAUUA